UACGAAGGGGGCUAGCGUUGCUCGGAAUUACUGGGCGUAAAGCGCACGUAGGCGGACUUUUACGCCGGGGGUGAAAUCCUGGAGCUCAACUCCAGAACUGCCUUCGAAACUGAAAGUCUUGAGUUCGGGAGAGGUGAGUGGAACUGCGAGUGUAGAGGUGAAAUUCGUAGAUAUUCGCAAGAACACCAGUGGCGAAGGCGGCUCACUGGCCCGAUACUGACGCUGAGGUGCGAAAGCGUGGGGAGCAAACAGG
rnacentral:rRNA from 1 species